AACGUAGGGGGCGAGCGUUGUCCGGAAUUACUGGGCGUAAAGGGCGUGUAGGCGGCCUUGCAAGUCGGGAGUGAAACCCGCCGGCUCAACCGGCGGCCUGCUUUUGAAACUGCAGGGCUUGAGUGCAGGAGAGGGGAGUGGAAUUCCCAGUGUAGCGGUGAAAUGCGUAGAUAUUGGGAGGAACACCGGUGGCGAAAGCGGCUCUCUGGCCUGUAACUGACGCUGAGGCGCGAAAGCGUGGGGAGCAAACAGG
rnacentral:rRNA from 1 species